UCUAAUGAUCCAAUUUAUUUUUUUUGUCUUUGAAGAUUUAUAUAUAAAAAUUUAAUGAUAUUAUUGGGUGAAAUAUUUAAUAUUAUGAAAAAAUUAGAAUUCUCUAAAUUAAUAUAAAAACUAGGAUUAGAUACCCUAUUAUUAUAACUUAAAUAAAAAGUCUUAUUAUUAAAAGUUAAGUUCUUUAAACUAAAAAGAUUUGGCGGUGUUUUAUUUCUAAUCAGAGGAACCUGUUCUGUAAUUGAUAAUCCACGAUUAAAUUUACUUAUUUUUAGUUUACAUAUCGUUGUUUAAAAUAUUCUAGAAGGUAAAUAUUUAAUUAUUUAAAUAAAAAAAAAUCAGAUCAAGAUGUAGCUUAUAGAUAAGAAGAAAUGGGUUACUGUAAAUUCUGAAUUUAAAAAUUUGAAUUUUAAUGAAAUCGGAUUUGAAAGUAAAUUUUAAUAUAUUUUAAUAUUGAAAAAGCCCUGAAGA
rnacentral:rRNA from 1 species